GAUGAAGAACGUAGCGAAAUGCGAUAAGUAGUGUGAAUUGCAGAAUUCAGUGAAUCAUCGAAUCUUUGAACGCACAUUGCGCCCCAUGGUAUUCCGUGGGGCAUGCCUGUUCGAGCGUCAUUUACCCCCUCAAGCUCCGCUUGGUGUUGGGCGUCUGUCCCGCUUCGCGCGCGGACUCGCCCCAAAGGUAUUGGCAGCGGUCGUGCCAGCUUCUCGCGCAGCACAUUGCGCUUCUCGAGGCACUGGUGGGCCCGCGUCCAUCAAGCUCACCCCCCCAGUUUGACCUCGGAUCAGGUAGGGAUACCCGCUGAACUUAAGCAUAUCAAUAAGCGGAGGA
rnacentral:misc_RNA from 1 species